AUCCUUUUAGUAUAAAUUAGUAUUUUUAACUUCCAAUUAAAAGGUUUAUUAAAUAAAUAGGAUA
rnacentral:tRNA from 1 species